ensembl:snRNA Gm22361 predicted gene, 22361
AGACUUUCCUGGCAGGGGAGAUAGCAGGAUAGUGAAGGUGGUUUUCCCAGAGUAAGACUUAUCAUCCAAUGCAUUCCAAAUCUACUGGCUGAUCCCUGCAUUUUCCACAAAUGUGGGAAAUUUAACUACACAAUUUACGGUGGCGGCGGGCUGGGGGAUUCAUUCACAUUCUUCCA